rnacentral:rRNA from 1 species
UACGUAGGGUGCGAGCGUUGUCCGGAAUUACUGGGCGUAAAGGGUGCGUAGGUGGUUUCUUAAGUCAGAGGUGAAAGGCUACGGCUCAACCGUAGUAAGCUUUUGGAACUGUAAGACUUGAGUGCAGGAGAGGAGAGUGGAAUUCCUAGUGUAGCGGUGAAAUGCGUAGAUAUUAGGAGGAACACCAGUAGCGAAGGCGGCUCUCUGGACUGUAACUGACGCUGAGGCACGAAAGCGUGGGGAGCAAACAGGAUUAGAUACCCUGGUAGUCCCU